rnacentral:siRNA from 1 species
ACCCUCUUCGUAGACACCGACGCC